UAAUAUUCUGAUAUGUAAAACAAUGAUUUUGAUUACUUCUAUGCUAUUAGCUUUUUGUGUUAGGCCAUGAUCUUUAGGGUCCGUUUGGUUCAACGGAGGGGAGGGAAGGGGAGGGGUUUUAAUGGAGGGGAUGGAAUGGAAGGGGAGAUAUAUCAAUUAAAGGUUUUUCUAUCAUGUGCAAAUUUGCACAUGUUAAGAAGUUUAAAUUAGUAACUUUGACUUGGAACUUGUGUUUUUAAUAUUAAAUAUGCAACAUUUAAUCAAUAAUUGUUGGUUUUCAAUGAAAAAUUACUACUUUUAGUUACCUUAACAUAUGCAAUAUUGCACAUAUUAAAUAUAUGUUUGGUUCAAAUGAUGGGAGGGAAGGGAAGGGGAGUGAAGGGAUUUUAAUUAAGUAUGUGUUUGGUUCAUACGGGAGGGGAGGGAUUUUAAAACCAAAUUACCUUUUUAUCCCUCUAACCUUAAAACAAUAUUAUGAUUUUUAUAUUAUUCACUUCAUAUUUAAACAUAAAAACUCGUAACCAAAAACUCUAAAUAAUCAAACACAAAAGUUCUAACAAAAUAUUAGGUAUUCAUAAAUAUUAAAGCACUUCUAAAAUAAUCUAGUACAAUAUGAAAAUAUUUAUAAAAUAUUUAUUGUUAGAAAUUAUUUUUAAAAUAUAUUUAUAAAAAAAUCUUCUACAAAUUUUAUUAAUUAUGUUUUAAUAUAUAAUACAAUUAAAAACUAUAAAAUAAAUAUAUCAAAAUAAAACAAAAUAAAGCAACGUUAGUCAAAAAAGUGAAUUCACGUAAAAAAAAAUUAGAAAACAAGAAUAUGCAGUUCUCGAUUAAAAAAAUUGACAUUGGCAUGUUACAAAAAAGAUGGUAAUAAGUAAUAUGUUGAAAACACUUAAAUUUUUAAUAAGGACGGAUUUGUCAUUUAAAAAUAAACAUGAUGAUAAUUAUGUCAAUGUGAUUAAAAUUGCAUUAACUCAUCUCUCUUUCCCUCCCCUCCCCUCCAAAAAACUCCAAUUUGAGGGGGAGCAAUAAAUGAGCUUAUGAGAGAUUUUGCUCCCCUUCCUCUCCCUCUCCUCCCCUUCUAAAAAUUGAACCAAACACAAUUUUUAAAAUAUUCUCUCCCUUCCCCUCCCCUCCCCUUCAAAACCCGCGAACCAAACGAACCCUUAGUCUAUAAACCUUGGUUUAACAUUCUAGAAGUUUUAAGAAGAUCAAGCAAGAGAAAUUAAAACUGCGUGCAGAUAAAUACAUGUUUGUAAUUAGUAAAGGGAAACUAUCAAAUAAACAUUAUGGUUGAUGAGGAUGGCUAUUAGUAAAAUUUCACUUCAAUGAAUAACAUUUAGAUGGGGAG
rnacentral:lncRNA from 1 species